rnacentral:rRNA from 1 species
AUUGAACGCUGGCGGCAUGCUUUACACAUGCAAGUCGAACGGUAACAGGCCGCAAGGUGCUGACGAGUGGCGAACGGGUGAGUAAUGCAUCGGAACGUGCCCAGUCGUGGGGGAUAACGCAGCGAAAGCUGCGCUAAUACCGCAUACGAUCUAUGGCUGAAAGCGGGGGACCGUGAGGCCUCGCGCGAUGGGAGCGGCCGGUGUCAGAUUAGGUAGUUGGUGGGGUAAAGGCUCACCAAGCCAACGAUCUGUAGCUGGUCUGAGAGGACGACCAGCCACACUGGGACUGAGACACGGCCCAGACUCCUACGGGAGGCAGCAGUGGGGAAUUUUGGACAAUGGGCGCAAGCCUGAUCCAGCAAUGCCGCGUGCAGGAAGAAGGCCUUCGGGUUGUAAACUGCUUUUGUACGGAACGAAACGGUCCUGGUUAAUACCUGGGGCUAAUGACGGUACCGUAAGAAUAAGCACCGGCUAACUACGUGCCAGCAGCCGCUGUAACAC